rnacentral:rRNA from 1 species
AUUGAACGCUGGCGGCAUGCUUUACACAUGCAAGUCGAACGGCAGCGCGGGCUUCGGCCUGGCGGCGAGUGGCGAACGGGUGAGUAAUGCAUCGGAACGUGCCCAGUAGUGGGGGAUAGCCCGGCGAAAGCCGGAUUAAUACCGCAUACGACCUGCGGGUGAAAGCGGGGGACCGAAAGGCCUCGCGCUAUUGGAGCGGCCGAUGUCGGAUUAGCUAGUUGGUGGGGUAAAGGCUUACCUAGGCGACGAUCCGUAGCUGGUCUGAGAGGACGACCGGCCACACUGGGACUGAGACAGGGCCCAGACUCCUACGGGAGGCAGCAGUGGGGAAUUUGGGACAAUGGGGGCAACCCUGAUCCAGCCAUGGCGCGUGCGAGAAGAAGGCCUUCGGGUUGUAAAGCGCGUUUGUUCGGGAAGAAAUCCUCUGGGCUAAUACCCCGGGGGGAUGACGGUACCGGAAGAAUAAGCACCGGCUAACUACGUG